GGUUCCACCGGUAUCAUCGGCCACGUCCAGCAGCGGACUAUCGAGGUGCUAUACAACGUAGGCGGCAGUGCCGUCGGGUUCCGCCGUCGCGCGUGCUGAGCACCUAUUACCGUUUGAGCUCUUGGGGCAUAUCUAUCGGGCCUUUAACCUAUGGCCGUCAAAAUAAGCCCGUUUGAUUAGUGUUCUGCAUGCUGUAUCUCCCUUUACAUGUAAUUUGUGUGUGAUUUAUCGAUUGUAAAAGCUUAUUGUAUGAAAUGAAACUUAAGGUUUAUUUUUAUUUUUCGGUGAGGAAAGUUUAAAAUUUGUAUCUGAUAAGUGUCACAUGGGUGACAUGAAUACAUACCAACUCCUAACGUUUUUUAUGGCAGCAUGACAACUUUUUUUUCAAAUGGCAAGUAUCAGUUUUUUCUUUUUUUCUUUUUUUUUUCAAAUAUCAACUAUAAUUGUAAAUAGAGUGCUUCAUGUCACACGUGUGGCAUAUAUCAUUUGGAUAAUAUUUGUUUACCAGACUAUUUAGUCCUUGUUCGAGUUGCAGGCUAUGAUGAUCCUGAAAUGAUCAAGAAUUCUUCACCAUAUAUGAACCAUUAUAAAAUAAUCAAAAUCAUUAUGCAUAAUUUUACUGUUUUACAUAUUCUUAAUCGUACGUCCAUUCAAGUUAGCUGUCAUACUUCCUCCAUCAUAGUUUAUAAGGCGUGCACGUGUACCUAGAUCGUCAAUUUGACUUAUAUAAAAUAUAUUGUUUAACAUAAAAAUUAUAUCAUUGUUUUUUUUUCUUUUGCAAGUAAAUAUGCAUCGAUCAAAUUGCAAGCUAAAUUCAACUUUUAUAUGUAAUUAGAGUGACAACAAAAUGGUGUGUAAACUAUGACAAUUACAUAGAAAAUAUUGAUGACUCAUUGUAAUGCAUAGAAAAUUUCCUAGUAAUAGGUAAAAAUAAGUCCUAACUCACCAUAUGGGAUGUUGCCCCAUCUGCCCGAGGCAAAAAUACUGAUACUCUCGGCUAUGUUUUUUGAAGUUACUCAUAAGUAUGUACGAACGUUCAUCCCAAAAAAAAAAAGUAUGUACGAACGUUCGCGUUUUUACUGUGUAAAAAGAAAACCGUGUCGUGUUUGAACCACUCAGGAAAGAGAGGCUUGGCAUCGUGUUGCUUUGAGUGCCAUACGUAACCCACAUCGUCGCCCCAUCCAAGGGCCAGCUGGACACCUGCUACGACUUCACCGGCGUCCGCAACGUGAGGCUGCCCAAGAUCUCGCUUGUGUUCUAUAGCCGGAGCAAUGGCGGCGCUGCCGUGGAGCUUGACCCGUCGGGGGUGCUGUUCAACAGCUGCCUCGCGUUUGCGUCCACCAGCGGUGGCGAUGGAUCCACCGGUAUCAUCGGCCACGUCCAGCAGCGGACCAUCGAGGUUUGCAUGUUUAUUGUUUUACAUAUUCGGCGGACCAUCGAGGUGCUAUACAACGUCGGCGGCAGCGCCGUCGGGUUCCGCCGUCGCGCGUGCUGAGCAGCUAUCAGUCUAUCACCGUUUGAGCUCUUGGGGCAUGUCUAUAGGGCCUUUAACCUAUGGCCGAUAAAAUAAGCCCGUUUGAUUAGUGUUUUGCAUGCUGUAUCUCCCUUUACAUGUAUUUUGUGUGUGAUUUAUUGAUUGUAAAAGCUUAUUGUAUGAAAUGAUGCUUAAGAUCUAUUUUUCUAUUUUG
rnacentral:lncRNA from 1 species